UACGUAGGGGGCAAGCGUUGUCCGGAAUCAUUGGGCGUAAAGAGCGCGUAGGCGGCCCUGUAAGUCCGCUGUGAAAGUCAAAGGCUCAACCUUUGAAAGCCGAUGGAUACUGUGAGGCUAGAGUCCGGAAGAGGCGAGUGGAAUUCCUGGUGUAGCGGUGGAAUGCGCAGAUAUCAGGAGGAACACCAAUAGCGAAGGCAGCUCGCUGGGACGGUACUGACGCUAAGGCGCGAAAGCGUGGGGAGCGAACAGG
rnacentral:rRNA from 1 species